UACGUAGGGGGCAAGCGUUACUCGGAUUUACUGGGCGUAAAGCGCGUGUAGGCGGCUGGUCAAGCGUGAUGUGAAAUCUCCGGGCUCAACCCGGAAACUGCAUCGCGAACUGGCCUGGCUAGAGUGCAGGAGAGGGCGGCGGAAUUCCCGGUGUAGAGGUGAAAUUCGUAGAUAUCGGGAGGAACACCAGUGGCGAAGGCGGCGACCUGGACGGACACUGACGCUGAGACGCGAAAGCGUGGGGAGCAAACAGG
rnacentral:rRNA from 1 species